UACGUAGGGGGCUAGCGUUGUCCGGAAUCAUUGGGCGUAAAGCGCGUGUAGGCGGCCCGGUAAGUCCGCUGUGAAAGUCCAGGGCUCAACCCUGGGAUGCCGGUGGAUACUGUCGGGCUCGAGUCCGGAAGAGGCGAGUGGAAUUCCUGGUGUAGCGGUGAAAUGCGCAGAUAUCAGGAGGAACACCAAUGGCGAAGGCAGCUCGCUGGGACGUGACUGACGCUGAGACGCGAAAGCGUGGGUAGCAAACGGG
rnacentral:rRNA from 1 species